rnacentral:rRNA from 1 species
CGGCGAGUGAAGCGGCAAAAGCUCAAAUUUGAAAUCUGGCGUCUUCGACGUCCGAGUUGUAAUUUGAAGAAGGCGACUUUGUAGCUGGUCCUUGUCUAUGUUCCUUGGAACAGGACGUCAUAGAGGGUGAGAAUCCCGUGUGGCGAGGAUCCCAGUUAUUUGUAAAGUGCUUUCGACGAGUCGAGUUGUUUGGGAAUGCAGCUCUAAGUGGGUGGUAAAUUCCAUCUAAAGCUAAAUAUUGGCGAGAGACCGAUAGCGAACAAGUACAGUGAUGGAAAGAUGAAAAGAACUUUGAAAAGAGAGUGAAAAAGUACGUGAAAUUGUUGAAAGGGAAGGGCAUUUGAUCAGACAUGGCGUUUGCUUCGGCUUUCGCUGGGCCAGCAUCAGUUUUAGCGGUUGGAUAAAUCCUCGGGAAUGUGGCUCUGCUUCGGUAGAGUGUUAUAGCCCGUGGGAAUACAGCCAGCUGGGACUGAGGAUUGCGACUUU